UUACUUUAGUUCGUCUUGGUUAACGAGGUUACGGUUAAGGUUAGGAGACGUUUAGAAUCAUCGCUGAAUAAGGAUAGAAAGUUCCUCCGACGAAGGGACAACGAAGCUACACGAUCGAGCAAUGUAAUCGAUGGAAACGAAACACGGGCCACGUAGAUGUCUCACGAUAGAUUUAAAAACGUAAACACGAUGCACUUGGCCAUCUGGGAGAAGCGGGAAUCGCCUGUAUUCGUACGCAACAGGAACCAAACCCAUAUGUCGUCGUCCAUUGGCGUUCGUUGACUCGCUCGAGAGAAAGGAACUCCGGAAAAUUGAAACGGAAGAGUGCACAAUGGUA